rnacentral:rRNA from 1 species
UACAGAGGUGGCAAGCGUUGUUCGGAAUUACUGGGCGUAAAGCGUGCGCAGGCGGUUGGCAAAGUCAGCUGUGAAAGCCCCGGGCUUAACCUGGGAAUGGCGGUUGAAACUAGUCGACUAGAAUCUGGCAGAGGGGGGUGGAAUUCCACGUGUAGCAGUGAAAUGCGUAGAGAUGUGGAGGAACACCGAUGGCGAAGGCAGCCCCCUGGGCUGAGAUUGACGCUCAGGCACGAAAGCGUGGGGAGCAAACAGG